rnacentral:sRNA from 1 species
UUUUUUUUCUGUUUUUUUU